AUGCCCACAUCAGAAGUAAAUGGCCUUCCCUGGAGCAGUCUAAAGAUCAGCCAAUCUUUUCCUCAUCCUCUAGCCGCCCUCCCAGAGGAUCCUGGGAGGCGAGGCAGGAACGGCCUGCUUGGGGAGCCAGCGAGUUUGCAGGGCCUUUUCUGCUGCUUCCUGUACCCCGGUAUUUCACUCGGCUCUCUAAAUGGACUCAGCUCCAGGUGAGUUCAGAAUCUUCUGCAAACUAGGCCUUCAGUUUCUGCAGUUGGGGUGUGUGUUCGGGGGCAGAGGAUCUCCCUUUCCCACUUCCCCAGUUUGGGCACUGGCAGUAUUUGGGGUGUCUCCUGGGCCCUGCAGGAGCAGUCUGCUUCCUUCAGAGAGUACUCUCAGGAUUCCUGAUUUAUUCCUGUAGUCAUUCUGGAGCUAAAACUCGUGAUGUGAACCUCCACACACUGCUCUGUCUGUCCAAGUUGGAGCCGCAGUCCAGUCCUGCCUCCCAUCAGCCAUGAUGAGCUCCUUUAAUUUUUUUCUAAUAUGAAUAACCAGUUUUGCUAGAACUAUUUUAUAAAAAGCCCGUCAUAUCCUGCUGGUAUGUAAUACUAAAUCUGUUAUAUAUCAAUUAUCCAUGGAUUUGAGGGUCUGUUUUUCACCCAAUUCUGUUUUCUUAAAUUUAUUGUUAAUGUCAAUAUCUUUAAAUUAUCUUGAAUUACAG
rnacentral:lncRNA from 1 species